UACGUAGGGGGCAAGCGUUGUUCGGAAUUACUGGGCGUAAAGGGCGCGUAGGCGGCACGGCAAGUCAGGAGUGAAAGCCCUGGGCUCAACCCGGGAACUGCUUUUGAAACUGCCGAGCUAGAGUGCGGAAGGGGCAACUGGAAUUCCCAGUGUAGCGGUGAAAUGCGUAGAUAUUGGGAAGAACACCUGAGGCGAAGGCGGGUUGCUGGGCCGACACUGACGCUGAGUGCGCGAAAGCCAGGGGAGCGAACGGGAUUAGAUACCCCGGUAGUCCUGGCCCUAAACGAUGGAUACUUGGUGUGUGGGGUUUUCUCAGUCCCCGCGUGCCGGAGCUAACGCGGUAAGUAUCCCGCCUGGGGAGUACGGUCGCAAGGCUGAA
rnacentral:rRNA from 1 species